rnacentral:lncRNA from 15 species
CUUCUGCUUACUAUUUGUACAGACACAUUGCUCACAGCCUAUCUAUAAGAAGCUUGGUGUGAAUGAUGUCCGGGUGAGACAUUACUUAAUAGCACUAUAAUACUACUAUAAUACUUUUAUUAAAAUACCUUGUUCACACCUCAGGGCCUAACAAAGCAAGGGUGCUCCAACAACUGUGGCGUGUUUGUUUUGAUGGUAAGACCUAUUCAGUAUGUUAUAGCAUUGCUGUUAUCUGUAAAAUGUUUGCUUGUUACAUUCAAAACACAUUAAUUUCUAUUGAAAAAAAAAGUAUCCUGGGGGAAUAUGCAUGACAUUAUAUUAACCAGUACCUUUUGACUUACAGUACGCUCUGUACAUUGUAAUGGGGGCCAAUUGCGAUUUCAGAGAGGAAAACAUGCUGCAAAUUCGAAGAUGGUGGUGUCUUGUUCUCCUGCAGAACUUCCCCGUGCUAAGACCGAUUACAGGACAGAAAAAGGUGAUCAACAAUCAGUUUCCUUUCUAGAGGAAGCGGAGAACUAGACAUAACUGGGAACAGGGUAUGUUGCCUGUUGUGGGCGUUUCUUAUUUCACUGUUUUCUGCCUUCUCCAACCUUUAUUAGGGCCCGAGUAGCAUGAAAGGUAACAUGUUUGAUCAUACCACCAAGAGAGUGAAAUACCUUGAUACUUGCCAUUGUAAAACAUUCAUGGAAGCUUAAGGAAUGUACUUGACUAGGCUAUAACAUCUAUCUUUUUUCUCUUUACAGAUCAAACAUGUUAAGGGCUGGG